rnacentral:rRNA from 1 species
GACGAACGCUGGCGGCGUGCUUAACACAUGCAAGUCGAACGGAAAGGCCCUGCUUUUGUGGGGUGCUCGAGUGGCGAACGGGUGAGUAACACGUGAGUAACCUGCCCUUGACUUUGGGAUAACUUCAGGAAACUGGGGCUCAUACCGGAUAGGAGCUCCUGCUGCAUGGUGGGGGUUGGAAAGUUUCGGCGGUUGGGGAUGGACUCGCGGCUUAUCAGCUUGUUGGUGGGGUAGUGGCUUACCAAGGCUUUGACGGGUAGCCGGCCUGAGAGGGUGACCGGCCACAUUGGGACUGAGAUACGGCCCAGACUCCUACGGGAGGCAGCAGUGGGGAAUAUUGCACAAUGGGCGGAAGCCUUAUGCAGCAACGCCGCGUGCGGGAUGACGGCCUUCGGGUUGUAAACCGCUUUCGCCUGUGACGAAGCGUGAGUGACGGUAAUGGGUAAAGAAGCACCGGCUAACUACGUG